UGAGUGAUGAAGGCCCUCGGGUCGUAAAACUCUUUCCAAGAGGAAGAGGAAGGACGGUACUCUUGGAAUAAGCCUCGGCUAACUACGUGCCAGCAGCCGCGGUAACACGUAGGAGGCGAGCGUUAUUCGGAUUUACUGGGCGUAAAGCGCGUGUAGGCGGCUAUAUAAGUUGGAUGUGAAAGCUCCCGGCUUAACUGGGAGAGGACGUUCAAAACUAUAUAGUUUGAGUACGAGAGAGGAAAAUGGAAUUCCGGGUGUAGUGGUGAAAUGCGUAGAUAUCCGGAGGAACACCAGUGGCGAAGGCGAUUUUCUGGCUCGAGACUGACGCUCAGACGCGAAAGCUAGGGUAGCAAACGGGAUUAGAGACCCCGGUAGUCCUAGCUGUAAACGAUGUAGACUAGGCGUUGGUGGAGUAAAAUCCAUCAGUGCCGCAGCAAACGCGAUAAGUCU
rnacentral:rRNA from 1 species